rnacentral:lncRNA from 1 species
UUUUUUUUUUUUCGGCCUCUCUUUUUUUCUCUCUCUGCACAUGGAUGAACAGUGAGAUUCUGAAUACUCCCUUGCUGAACCAAGCGAUGGCAGGUCCUGCUGGACCCACCUGGGGAAGGGAGACAGCUGUGCGACAGCUUUCAGAGCUCAAGGGUCACACCUAAAUCCCCGAUUUCCCCACUGCCAGCAGCCCCAGUUGGAGGGUGGAGGUGAAGGUUGAAAGGAGGGUGGCUGAGUUGACAGUUUCUUUGCUAGCUCCUCUACAAUCAGUGCUUCAGGUGUUUUCAAAAUGCCACUGUUAACAGAAGGAGGGCCUUUUAGAAUUUUCCAGAUGGUAGAUGUGAUUUUCUUUUAACCUGAUGGUUUUCCUCCUCUGCCUUGUAAAUGAAUAAGAUGUUGCCCCAAGAACAGUGAGGUAUGUUGAAAAGCCAAAGAACAUUUGUGAAUGAUUUUAAAUGAACAUGUCCACCGCCUCUGGGGGAGGAGGGGGUUGGUCCUUUUUACAAAUGCUGCACCGUGGUGAGUGCAUACAUACGUACUGUGCUUACAGUCUUACAGUUCUAGCAGUCUUUCGGGGGAUACCGCCAAUGGCCCUGAAGUUGCGUUUACUUAAAGUCGCUAAAUGUACAAGAAAUAACCACUUGUCAAAAUGGCGUCAAAAGAUCAAGCAAGAAGCUUUUGCACAAGUGCUGGGCAAGGUCUUUUCCUAGCAUAUGGAAAGAGUUCUAUAAGCUCCAUAGCAGAUUUCCCGAAUAUACAUUGAGGGAGGGGAGAAGUAGGAGAAAUACAAGAAAGAAGAGCCCCCAUUCUCAGUGGGUGAGCUGCAGAAGGAACAGCAUGGUUUAUCAUAUUACUGGAAGGCCUCCAGGGUAGAUAUCAGGCAAGUUACCCCACCAACAAAUACAUAAGACACACAAGAAUGGCUUUAAAUAAAUAAGUAGAAUUGAAUCCUAAAUCAUACUUUUGCAUUCAGGAGCAACAGAUGUCAAUCAAACGUGGGUGACAUUUGCUUGUCAAUACGAGGAUGAUGGCUGGGAAGACGGUGACUUAUUACAUCAGGGUGAGAAUCUGAAAUGAGAAAAGCAGGAACAAAUAAGACUACAGCAAGCAAACAGUAACAUCCUGGGUGACGAUCAGCAGCCUGUGAUCUUGUCUGCGGGUGUCACAGCAUGGACUUCUCCUUUCCUCCCUGUGCCUCAAUCUCCCCGCCCCCCAGCCUACUCCAGUCCACCCCACCAAUUUAGUUCUUUCUUUCUUUCUUUCUUCUCUGUUUCAAAACAAAAUAAGGUCAAACGAGCAGACAGAAGGAAACAAAGACUGAAUGAUUCUUUUAAGAGAAAUGUCAGUAGCUCCUUCAGGCCUUGGCUGGGAGAAUCAACCCUAAAAGCUGUGCUGUGUGGCUCAGCGGGGUGGGGGUCUCCACCUCCUGGCUACUGAGAGAGCCACACUGCUCCUGGUAUUGGAAAAUAGGGCUUCCCACUUCUCAAGCCCUUAACUUUUAUUUUAGGGUAGUGGUUUUAUAAAUGCGCGCCUAUUGCUUGGGCAUAAUUAUACACAUAGUUCCAUAAUAUUUUUGUUCACAUGAGCUGCCUUAUUUUCAUAUUUUUAAGGAGCAAACACAUAAUAAGUUGUCUCCUGGCCAUAAUACUUACUUUCCUAACACACCUUCUGGAUUGCUUCUUAAAAGUCACCUUCCUUUUGGAGGACAAAAUGGUGAGGUUUGCUGCCAGCACUGGGGGGGUAGGAUAUUAAUAAAACUCUGAUGCACCAGAUUAUCAAAUUUCAUAAGGCCUCUCUAUUGCUAUGAAGAGUUCUGUAGGUGACACAAAAGGAGUUUUUAAAAGGUAGAGAUGUAUAGAGAAGUUCUCAUCAAAACCUCAAGCUAUGUGGAGUUUUCCCAUUGACUAACGCUUAAGAUAUAUUGGAGUCAAAUGCUCAUAAAAUGCUCAUCAAUGCUUAUAAAAUAUUAAGAGUUGAAAUGGACUCUCUGUUCAUGCAGAUGAUGAGACCGAAACAGAGAGCUUCCAGGAGGAUCAAUGCCAUUCAAUGAGCUUGCUGCUGUACUCCCCUCUACACAAUAUGGAUAUAUCCCAUCCCAGCCCGAGACUGGCCAUACUAGUUCUAGUAACUGAGGCUUUCCUCCUACUUUCUCUGACGCCAAAGCAAAUUUGAUUUUGCAAGUGAGUGCCCUCACAUUUUAAAGCUCUGCUGAGAUUUAGAAAGGCACUCAGCAGUCAUCAUUCAUCAUGAAGUCACUCCCUCCCAGGCCACGUGGCUGACCCCAGACUUUCUAUUAACUGCACAAGCCUGGGCAACACAUGGAUAUUUGGCUCUGUAGUGAAGCAAAUUUAAAUUCUUGGUCUCCUUCCUCUCCUCCAGAAGUAUCUCACUGUGCACUUUGGGGGAACCUUUUGGUUCCCCCACAAUUUUCAAGGAUGACUUGGUAGUAAACGAACUUAUGGCUGGUUACUGAGACUUUCUACUGCUUGAAUUUCCCAGAAGGUUCUCUGCAAAGUUACUCACGCUUCAGCUCUUGUUCUGACAGUUUGGAUAAACCAUCUGAUAUGGCAUAUUACUCAUCAUCUUCAUAUAUAUAAUAAUAGAAAACGUGUCAAUUAAAAAAAUAUUUGAUUUUCUUCAGUCCUCAUUAGAGAACCAAGUUUUCUCUCAUAUUCGAUAAGAAUCUUGGAAGUGGGCCCUGGACUCUCAUUUCUGCAGCAUCUCCCAACCAUCUCUCAAGAAAACACCAGGCUCCCUACUCCCAUUGCACCUGUACCUGGACCUUGUGGACCCUCCAGAAGAUGAAGUCCAAUCCAGAAAGCCGUGAUCAUGCCACUUCUAAGAUGCUAAUGAUCCUGGGAGUUUUAGCCUUUUGUUGCCUGCUGCUGCGGUGUUUGAACCAUUCCAGUAAGCCAGCAACUUUGCAGGGACAAGGACAGAGCAUGCAAAGCAUGGAGGGAAAGUAGGAGUGUUUGUACCAUGAGUCUCUGCACACCCCUCAUCUUGGCUAUAGUAGACUGGACCACAGAUGGACACUGUACCAUGCAGAUUACUUCUUCCAGGAACUUGGAUUGAGACCAAGAGACUCAUGGCAUCCUCUUCUGGCUGCAAGACUUAUAUUUUUAUAUUUAGGCAAUAGAAGAGGGGCAGCAGAUGCCUACCUUGUGGAACAGAGGAAGGCAGGCAGUUCACAGAGAAAGAGGACUAGACAGUCGGACAGAGGGGAGCAGGCUUGGGAGCUUCGUGGAGCCAAUGUCCAUCUCUGUCCUUCCUUUCCACUCGAUGCUCCUGAGUCCCUGCCUUCAACCCCCGCUUGUUUGCUUAAACUGGUUUGAGUUUGUUUCUGCUGUUUGAAAAACAACAACAACAAAACCCCAAACAAAACAAACAUCAAACAAAAACCAAAACAAAACCAUUAACUCACUCAUCCCUGUGAUUGUAUUUUGAGAAAUAAAGGUGAUUUCCUUCAGAAAACAAAGCGUAAAAACCCUGCCCUCCUCCUCUACCUCUCCGAUCGCCUAUUAAAGCCCAUUUGCUCCACGGUAAUGUAGAAGCUGUUCCCACACAUCAGCUCAUGUACAGUGUUGGACAGCAUUUCUCUGCAAUUCUUUCCAAAUCAAAGAUAGUACACCUGUGCUCCCAAAUCUACCAGGAACACUCAAU